rnacentral:rRNA from 1 species
ACUGCGAGUGCUAAGAUCCGUAGUCGAAAGGGAAACAGCCCAGACCACCAGCUAAGGUCCCAAAAUAAUUGUUAAGUGGAAAAGGAUGUGGGGUUGCACAGACAACUAGGAUGUUAGCUUAGAAGCAGCUAUUCAUUCAAAGAGUGCGUAAUAGCUCACUAGUCGAGUGACCCUGCGCCGAAAAUGUACCGGGGCUAAAACAAUUUACCGAAGCUGUGGAUCCCUUAGGGGAUGGUAGGAGAGCGUUCUAUGUGUGGAGAAGGUGUACCGUGAGGAGCGCUGGAACGCAUAGAAGUGAGAAUGCCGGUAUGAGUAGCGAAAGACAGGUGAGAAUCCUGUCCACCGUAAGACUAAGGUUUCCAGGGGAAGGCUCGUCCGCCCUGGGUUAGUCGGGACCUAAGGAGAGACCGAAAGGUGUAUCCGAUGGACAACAGGUUGAUAUUCCUGUACUAGAGUAUGUAGUGAUGGAGGGACGCAGUAGGCUAACUAAAGCAGACGACUGGAAGAGUCUGUCUAAGCAGUGAGGUGUGAUAUGAGUCAAAUGCUUAUAUCUAUAA